AUCUCUUGUUGGAGCUCAUUACUUACUUCAGGUUUUUCUAAGGUAACUGCUAGGAAGUACAAAACUAGUUUCAGAUAAAAGAAGACUCAGGCUGAUGAUGACACAUUUUGCUGGAGAAGAUAAGUUUAAGGCAUGAGGCAUGGAGUAGGUUUGUAGAUGAUGGGUAACACAAACCCUGCUGGAAUUCAGGCAUGGAGGUUUGGACCAUAAACACUGCAAAUUCCACGGGAGCUCUGGAGAGCAAAGCAGACAGUUCUGUUCUCUGAUCUCAACCCAGUUGCAGUCUCUGCAUCUUGGUGUCUCAACUGUCAGUGAUCUUGGUCUUCUUGAUUGGGUUAUAUUCAUGGCUGAUUCACACUGUAGGUACUGCUGUCAGAUUUAGCAGAAAUCUAACAACAGAAAGUGAGGACACAGGCUAAAGGCUUCAAACAUAACAAAUGCACAUCAGAAGCACUGAUAAAUUGGGAAACCUAUAUUUAAUGUUCUCUAGUGGUUUACAUGUGUUUACAGAAAUUACCCAGUUUCCUGGCCUAAUGUAGUCAGCUGCUCUCAUGAAGCACUUUUACUGGAACCCAGCAGAACAUACUGGAUGAGUAUUUGAUUUUCACCCUAAGAGAGGGACAUCUGUUUGAAAGGGACGCUCAAAUAGGAAGCUGGACGUGGUUCCAGCAAAUCAUUCUUGACUGCCUAGAUGUAUUUGAUUUCAGUAAUAAUGAGAGAUAGUCAAUCCUAUUUGUGAAGCUCUUGAAAUCAAAGGAUUCCCAGAUGAGAUUUCUCAUCUUGUCAUUUACCACUGUAAAAUGUUCAUUUCAGAAAUAAUUGUCUGAGUGGCACAAAGGUGUUUUCUCUUACUGAUGGAAAACUGAGUUGUGGAUUUUUUUCAAUCCUACUUUUUGUUAAAAUAUUAAGACAAAAUUUUAGGGUACAAACAGGUAAGUUAUAAACCAAAUAGUACAGGAAGUGCAAAAUUAAAUUAGUUAAAUGGUAAUAACAUCAUAGGUAUGAAAAUCUUGUCCAGAAAUGCUUUCUGUGUGAAGCUACAUCUACAUUGCUAUGGCCAACAUUGUUACUAGCCUUGAGCAAAGAAUGAGAAGAUUUAGAAGAUUCAGUGCCUUCAGGAAGGUGCUCACUCCAUGUUUGUAAGUAUUCUCUAUGCAUUUCACAGUAUUACUGAAACAAAGAAGGCUUUUUUUGUUUGUUUUUGUCUCAGUAGCUGUCACCUAUGGCUUAUAAAUUUUCAGCUCACACCUCAUUCAUGAUAAUCUACUGAUCUGUCUAGGAAGAACUCAGUGUAGGAACAAAAAGGGAAAAACAGAUCAGUCUUUUACACAUAUGGAUCACAUGUAUCAUAUGUAUUUAUAUUAGACAAAUUGAGGUCAUAGAAAGAAUUUCAUAUAUAAACAGAAGUAGUCUCCUUGUACUAAAUUUUUUCUAGUCUCCUGGAAACACAGGUACACAGAAAAGCAUAAAUUCAUAAACAGACUACAUGCAGAAGAAACAAGCAUUAAAUUGUUCAACUUUUAAAAAUCUUGGUUGAAAUCUACACUGUAGUUGGGAGGAUAUUGUUUAGUUUCAAUUACUCGUUUCACCAUGUUUAAAACAAAUAUCAAACUGAUGAAACUACAGCAGAGAACUGCAGAUGUUUAAAUUUGUAGUGAUAUGAUACCAACUGGAGUCUUCACUGAAUAAACUGUAACCACUGAAAUUGAUUAUUCAUUAAAAAAAAAAAAAGAAAACUCUU
ensembl:lncRNA